rnacentral:rRNA from 1 species
UACGUAGGGCGCAAGCGUUGUCCGGAAUUAUUGGGCGUAAAGAGCUCGUAGGCGGUUUGUCGCGUCUGCCGUGAAAACCCGAGGCUUAACCUCGGGCUGGCGGUGGAUACGGGCAGACUAGAGGUAGGUAGGGGAGAAUGGAAUUCCCGGUGUAGCGGUGAAAUGCGCAGAUAUCGGGAGGAACACCGGUGGCGAAGGCGGUUCUCUGGGGCCCUACCUGACGCUGAGGAGCGAAAGCGUGGGGAGCGAACAGG